GGCCGCCUGGCGUAAUGGCAACGCGUCUGACUACGAUCGAUUGCUUACGUAAUCAGGAGACUGCAGGUUCGACCCCUGCGGUGGUCA